CCCUUAGAUGUCCUGAGCCGCACGCGUGCUACACUGACGCCUACAGCGAGUACUUCCCAGCCCCGAGAGGUGGCUGGUAAUCAGCAAUAGGCGUCGUGAUGGGGAUAGAUCUUUGGAAUUAUGGAUCUUGAACGAGGAAUGCCUAGUAAGCGCAGGUCAUUAGCCUGCGCUGAUUAAGUCCCUGCCCUUUGUACACACCGCCCGUCGCUCCUACCGAUUUCGAGUGGUCCGGUGAAUCUUUCGGACUGCGCGCGGCCUCGUGCCGUGUCGCGGAAAGUCAGGUAAACCUUAUCACUUAGAGGAAGGAGAAGUCGUAACA
rnacentral:rRNA from 1 species